rfam:Haemonchus placei strain MHpl1 genome assembly, scaffold: HPLM_contig0004486
GGCCCAAAUUUGAAGUAGAGUAGAUUAAAAGGAUCAUCCGACCCUACUAAACUACUCUAGUUCGAGUUUGUGCCC